UAGUAUGCUGCUGUCUUUAGA
rnacentral:miRNA from 1 species